CACUAGGCGAGGAGGCAAAAUGUCAUUUCUGACUUCGCGUUUAAAUUGAUUGACUGCGGCCUGAGGUGCCUUCUUACCACGGUAAGUGAAGCAUCACGUAACCAAAGUUUUGCGAUAGCCUGCGCAAGGUGCAGUACAGUACGCCCGUAGAACCGGCCGACGUGCGACCAUGGAACACCCGUUUGAUGAGUUCGCAGGCGUACGUUCUGUGGAGCCUUGCCGAUCCUUGCAGCGCAUCCGCUAACCUUCACUUCCCUGCGCUUCUCGCGCGCACAGAUAAGAGAUACGCCUGCCGUAUGGAGGAUUCGUUUCUUAAGUCAAAGCAGCCGCUUCUUUCCCAUCUUCCAGGAUGAAGCGUCGGCUGUCAGGCGCACGGUGCCGAGGGCAGCAAAAUGCACAUAUUCGGCGUAACGCUCUAUCAGCACGUGUAUUGAGAUACACCUGUGCAGGUGUGCAUGAACCUCGAACGCGCUCUGCUUAAAAGACUUCGUGCUGUCGCGAGUGCUGCGAGGAACAAGCAACAGUUAAGCAACAUGUGUUUUAAUAUGCACAAAAGCAAGUUGCUACUGAACACGAACUAUGUAUUCCUAACGUACGUCUACGUGCCGCAAAUAUUGCACCAUAUGCGCUGUCAAAAGCAGGAAUCACUGACCUGCAAGGCGUUCAUUGUACAGAUUCUGAAACGCAUCGGUAUCGGCCUGCAAUGGCACGGUAGCAUGAUUCAGCCAAAAGAGCAAUAUUUCCCGCGGAUAUUCCUUCAACCAUUGCCAUUGCCGUGGCAGGGUACAUUGCAUACAGCGUUGCAUGCGCGUACAUUUCACGAACUUUAGUUCCUCCUGUCCCACCUAGCCACAGCAACAUCCGGGAGAGCACGGUGCAGAUAACGCAGUGCAACAAAACACGGAGGCCAAGGCAAAUCUACCCGCACGGCGCCUUGGCCACGGUACGAAAUCUACGGAGCAACACGUGUGAGCGCACAGAAUUAAAACAAAGCCACCAUUGUGGCCCGAAAGGCGUGGCCGCUACGGUAAAGAAAUAAAAAAUAAGCAAAACAGAGGAGAACCUACUACGUCAUUUCCUUCACACUUUUUUCCUAGCGCGCGGAGAGGGUACGCGAGAGGCCUCUCCUAUGCCACUUGCAUAGAGUUGGUAGAACAACUCUAGAGGAAAAGCUGGGCCGGAAAAGUGGGAACCUCUAGGGCGCCGCCCUGUUGCUACUGGUCAAUGUGGCCAGCGCAAUUAAUAUUGAAAGAGCUGAAAACAAGUACAGGUCACCUUAUGCUUUGUCAUCUAAAAACGCAUACCUGAUGGCUUUAUGAAGGUGGUGCGUUAAUAUUAAGUUUACAGAAAGCGAUCGCUAAGUCCGUGACUUAUGUAAAUCACGAUGUACGCAUUCAUGCAAUAAAGGAUGACGCGAAUUUCGGUUUCGAAUCUGUUUUUUGGAUGCGUAGUAGUUUCGUACAGUUUAAGUUUGACAUGCGAUCGCGCGUCGACAUCGGACGCUAUGGCACACUCGUGCCUUAUGUGCCACCGAAGCCCCGAAGUGCUCUGACAUAUAUACCUUCACAUGUAAGUAAACAAAUGUAUCUCCUUGUUGAGAAUAUCUCGCGAGUAGGCAGCUCUUGUGGUGCAUCACAAUCGCUUGAGAAGCGUCACAGUAGGGCACUUUUCUACAUGCGGAGCGGUGUUUUUAUUUGCAGGUUUCCCUUCAGUAGGAAAUUGCUGGACAGGCGGACCAGCGCACCGGAAUUGUACUGACGAAGCUAUAAGCAACUCAAAGAAUCUGUUUAAUUGUUGCACUUUGAACAAUCAUGCUUCUACAAAGGCCACAGCAGAAAAACAGCCUGAUGCCGAGUAUUUCUGUGCCACGAAGUAAUCCAAGAGGCGAGUGCCUAAUGCGGACGAAAUCGAGUGCAUCGAGACUUCGAACGACAGAAAGCUGAGCUAGUUGAUAUGCAAUGGCAAGCCCUUCCAUGUGUUCCAAAGGUAAAAUUUAAGCUCUAAAUUAAAGAAGAAAUUUCUAGUCAGAAACAAGCAAAAAUGGUGAAUGCAGAGUAUCAGAAGCCCAAGGUACAGAAAUUAUGAGAAUUGUCGAAUGAUUUUAAGGAAAGAGUCGUAUUUGAAAAUGCAAGACUCUUUAGUGGAGGUCAAGCAAGUCAAUAUAGGUAGAAUACUCUGCAAAAUUAUGCGAGUGAGGGGAUGUUAAACAAUGGGUCAGGAAAUGCACUGUUUUUCUGCAAAACAAAAGCUGAUUGCCAUUACAUGUCACUUUAGCAUCAUGACACUGCUGCUUGAUAAAUUCAGAAAUAAACCAAAAAACAAGACACGCAAAAAUAAAAAACAAUUCAAUGAUGCUCUCUCCACACUGGGAUAAAUAAAAAACACAUCACAUCUAAUGUGGACAUAUCAGACGCCCUGUGAAACACUAAAGGAAAAAUUCAGUUUCGAGCUAUGGCACUUGCCGCAUAGAUGUGGGGGGCCUUGCACUAAUAGUGAUAGUUACCACUGCAUUUAGAAAUUGAAAGCAUUCAUGCAGGCAAGGAUGAUUCUUUAUAUUUUUGGCUACCACUUCAAAUGCCUCCACCAAGUGUUACAAUGCUGCACGCAGCCAUACUAAGGAUCUCGCAGCAACACCUGCAGGUAAAAAGCAGAAGCAGACAAAGUGCUGGUGUGUACUGGACGCUAUGUUUGAAAACUUUUAGGCAAGAAGAGUGCAAGAAGCAGACAUAACAACUGCAUUUAUUUCCAUAAUUCCCCAUUUGAAUGGCCUUCUCUUUUUGCUUAGACAAUGCCUACGCCUAGCUACAGCACCUCACUCAUACAGACUUCGGAAGCCAAGAGGCCGUGGAGGCAAAUGCAGUUAACAGGCAAGAGGCAAUAGCACUGGUAUCGACACUCAUCUAAUUUCUUUCUUUUUCUUUCGUUUAGGCAGCCAGCACACCUUGAACAGCCACCUUGACUGCGGGUGUGUCACCCUAGUUGCCAAGGAAACAUUUGAGGGAAAGCGACAGGCAAUGUGAACAGCCACUUCUCCGUGUAAACGAUACUCCUUCUCUCGGAUGACUCCUACGCCUUCCCACGCCAGCACACUUGUGCACAAAGAUGCCGCGGAGGCACGUGCAGGUCACAGGCAAGAAGCAGUAACACUGGUGUCGACAUUCACCCAAUUUCUUUUUCUUAUACCGAGGCAGCCAGCACACCUCGAACAGCCACCUUGACUGCGGGUGUGUCAGUAGAUUCCUGUUGUACAUAUGCUCAUAAUAAACUUCAGUAAAUUUGAACUUGAUAAUAAACUUGAAGGCAAAUGGGA